GACAGAGGGGGCAAGCGUUGCUCGGAAUUACUGGGCGUAAAGGGCGCGUAGGCGGGAUGGCAAGUCGGUCGUGAAAUCCUUCGGCUCAACCGAAGAACGUCGAUCGAUACUGCUGUUCUUGAGGGUUGCAGAGGAGACUGGAAUUCCCGGUGUAGCGGUGAAAUGUGUAGAGAUCGGGGAGGAACACCGGUGGCGAAGGCGGGUCUCUGGGCAAUUCCUGACGCUGAGGCGGCGAAAGCGUGGGGAGCAAACGGG
rnacentral:rRNA from 1 species